rnacentral:sRNA from 1 species
GCCUUGCCCACCCCCCAUGGUUCCUUCUCAUCCGUAAUACUACGUCAAAGUUGUUUGAAGAUUCAUUUCGUGACGAGCGAAGGAAUCCACACUUCAUUGCAUUCCGCAAUGCGACUCCUCAUGUAUAGGGAUAUUGGGCAUUUCCCCACGGUUAUUACCACCAUUGGUGCUUAGGGUAAGUCGCGACGCAUGAUCUAUGAGACUAGCAGAACGAAUCGCCUCUUCCACCGUUAGGCUCCCAUUACAGUGAGAAUACGCAGGAUCAUGACGGCACCCCACCUCCGAUUAUCUCCAUCUAUCGGUUUCUCUUCGCAAGCGCCCGUGAGACCUUUUCCUUCCUUCGACUAGCACCAGAUGUGAAAGCUCUUGGGUUUGUCAAUACCGGUAUAUCAAAUAUUGCAUACAAGAAUUAUUUGCCACCUUAUCUCUAUGCUGUCUUCUCCUUAGGUAAUAAUGGAGAUAAUCACUCUUCAAAUCGGGAUACGGAUGCCGCCAUCAGGAGUGUGGGUCUCAAGACUGCCAACUCGUCCCCUUGGAUGCCACGCUUGCUGUUCCUUCCAUGUCUUACAUUUUCUGAAUAGCACCCCCUGUUUUUGCUGUGACGUAUCUUUCUUGAUCCCUAAUUGGGAGAUCAGUUCCCUUUUCUCCUCAACCCCUGUCGCCGUUUUGUUCAAACAGCCCUUCCUCUUAUUGUAUACACCAGCAUCCACCACAGCAGAACAGCGGACC